UACGUAGGGUGCAGGCGUUAAUCGGAAUUACUGGGCGUAAAGCGUGCGCAGGCGGUCUGCUAAGAGAGGUGUGAAAUCCCCGGGCUUAACCUGGGAACUGCGCUUCUAACUGGCAGGCUAGAGUGUGGCAGAGGGGGGUGGAAUUCCACGUGUAGCAGUGAAAUGACGUAGAGAUGUGGAGGAACACCGAUGGCGAAGGCAGCCCCCUGGGCUAACACUGACGCUCAUGCACGAAAGCGUGGGAGCAACAGG
rnacentral:rRNA from 1 species